GUUUUUAGAGUGUAAACUAAGCACAUUAAAAUUUCAUUUUAAAAGUAUAAAAUAAUUUUAUUAAAAAUA
rnacentral:tRNA from 1 species